rfam:Neotoma lepida isolate 417 scaffold_39, whole genome shotgun sequence.
GGUCUCAUGGUGUAAUGGUUAGCACUCUGGACUUUGAAUCCGGUAAUCCGAGUUCGAAUCUCGGUGAGACCA